AUGACUUAGUCAGUAAAGUGCUUGGUUUGCAAACAUGAGGACCUGAGUUCAAUCCCCAGU
rnacentral:tRNA from 1 species